GACGAACGCUGGCGGCGUGCCUAAUACAUGCAAGUCGAACGCAGUGGGGACGGGUGAGUAACACGUGGGUCACCUCCCAUCAGAGGGGAUAACACUUGGAAACAGGUGCUAAACCGAUCCUGAUGGAUGGACCCGCGGUGCAUGAGCUAGUUGGUGAGGUAACGGCUCACCAAGGCCACGAUGCAUAGCCGACCUGAGAGGGGGAUCGGCCAGACUGGGACUGAGACACGGCCCAGACUCUUAGGGGAGGCAGCAGUAGGGAAUCUUCGGCAAUGGACGAAAGUCUGACCGAGCAACGCCGCGGGAAGGAAGACGGUCUUCGGAUUGUAAACUUCUUUGGACAGGGACGCGGUACCUGUAUAAUAAGCCACGGCUAACUACGUGCCAGCAGCCGCGGUAAUAC
rnacentral:rRNA from 1 species